UGGGGAAUAUUGCACAAUGGGCGAAAGCCUGAUGCAGCCAUGCCGCGUGUGUGAAGAAGGCUCUAGGGUUGUAAAGCACUUUCAGUAGUGAGGAAAGGUUGACGGUUAAUACCCGUUAACUGUGACG
rnacentral:rRNA from 1 species